rnacentral:lncRNA from 1 species
AGAGAAUCAAAGAAUUUCCAUCCAUGUCAAUACUGUAUGGUAAAGAAGCCACAUUUUUAUGUUGAUAGGCCUUUAAAAUACUUAAGCUUUAGCUGUUAGGAUAAAAACUGUUCACUUGUUUUUGGGGAAGUCUUUAAAAACCAUAUACAUUACAGCUCUUCAAAUAUAUAUCAUGACAUACAUUAUUAUUGCAGGACUAUUUCUUAAGAAUUUUCUAACUGCCACCUUCCACCCUAGAACUGAAAGAGUAACUCCAUCAUAAAGGGGACAGCUUCUGACAGUCUUGCCUCCACAUAGAAAUGACAAUCUCAUUAAUGAUGCUAAGUUUAUGUUAAGAAAAAUGAGUGAUUCAGAGAAGGCAAUCUGUUACCUGGAGGAAUUUCGAAUUUUUAAAUGAUCAUUGAUCAGAGUUUUUAAGAAUCUCAUGAAAACGGUGGUUCAGAUAACAAGAAGGGAGUUGCAGCCUCCAGUUCCACCAAGUGGCCCAACAGCAACGUGAGAAACAUGGAGAAACCCCAAAUUCCUGGGAACACUCUGGAUGGGCAGAAAGUCAUCACCAAACUGAAAUCUGGGCACCACCUGAUGCAAACCAAUUAAAUUUCAUAGAAGUGGUGAGUGCUGAAGGAAAUAGAGUUAACUGGGAAAGAAAAACCAUGACACUUGCUUCUAAUCUUUCUGCUGUUCUAUCUAUUUCUCUCCUUUUUGUUUCCUCUUCCCAUUAAGACUUUCUCAUUUCUUAGAUGAGUAAUUAAACCCUGACCUCAGGUAUAAAUCUCAGAAGCACUUAUCAAUAAAAACAAACUCACCAACUAACCGGGGGCA